AAGGAGCGAGGAAAAAAUAAGACUGCGUAGUUCGCCCAAAACGGGAUCUUCUAUCUGAAAGUCCUGGUGAUUCAGAGUCAUUCGCCACAUCUGUAAUGUGUACCGUGCUAAUAAUAAGUUUAUUUAGCAAGGGUAGGUAAUAGUGUGAAGGAUUCCACCUGUCGCGUUCAUCCCAUUCAUACGAGAGGGUUGAUUAGCAUUGUCCGGAUCGACCUUCAACGGAGGAGAGGCGGACCAGAUAGCGCUCCGGGUGACCGGAAAAGCCCGGGGUUCCUUCUGUUGCUGCGGGGAAACACUCGCUAACUCCGUGGGCGAACCGACGUCCGGACGAUUCGCCGUACAGCGGUACCCAUCGCGUGCUGGACGACAUCAGGCCUGCAGCGUAUGGUGGGUGUGUGAGUGAUAGGGAUGGGCGAUAUCUGAUCGUUUGCGAUAUACCGGUAAAUUUUUUUGCGAUAAUAAUUCGUCUUCCCGCGAUAAUAACGAUAAAGUCUAGUUGUUGACAUAUUUAACUGUAAUAGUAGCAACUGUGCAAUGCAGUUUUGUGUGUGUUUGAGUCUUACAAACCUGUUGUCCGACAAAGAUAUAAUUUAUUGACAUGCUUUCCCUCCAAAUUAACUUCGUAACAUAGUCAAGUGUAUGAAAUAACCUUUUGUGAUCAGACGUGGCUUCGAAUCACAGAAUGAGGCAGAAAUCAUACUAUUUUAUAGUAUUAUAAAGGCUAUGUCGAUUAGCAUUGCAUUGUAAAUAUACUCUAUCCUUAUAAAAACACCUAAGAUUGGCCAGCAAACGCAAAACGUUUUUACAACUUUUCACAACGUUGUAUUUUGGUUGCAAUUAGGUAAUGUUGUAGUAUAACAUUUUAAAAACGGUUUAAAAACGUUUUUUUAAAAUAAACAAAAAAAUAUGUUACCAAAAUAAAACGUUUUAUAAACAUUGUAAAAAUACCAACCUGGAACGCUUUCUUUAAGUAGUCAAAAAAACGUAAAUAUCACGUUCGUCCACUACGAAAAGGAAAUCAGACCAAACUACAACUUUCGGGGGGACGUGUGUUAAAAUAACGUAAUAUGCACACUGGAAUAAGACGUUUUAAAAAUGUCAUGAAAGUACCCAAAUAUAACCUUGUAAAACUGUUCUGUUUGUGUAAAAAUAUCAGUAAAAUAACAGUGAUAUUUUAACAUUAACGCAAUUUAGUGACUGAGUAACAGAUAGUCUGAGCAAUAUCAAAAGGACUUAAAAGUAAUAUGUGAAUCCUUACUUUAAGUUGUCUUUGCUCAUUUAAUAAUACCGUAUAUUCAUAUAUCACGAGCUAACAGCUCAGUGUGUAAACCAGUCUGUGGUAUAAAUAAAUGAAAGGUGGAAGAGAGGUAUUAACACAUGAACAGAAAUGAUUGGUUGGUUAAAAAAUAUUUAUUUUUUACAAACGUCAUGACAGUAACUCCCUUUGUACGUGAUGUUUGUUUUUAAUGUGUUUUGCUAUAGAUAGCCUACUUAUUCUACACUAUGUUUACAAUUUCUGGUAUGUUUUUCGUUAGGUAGUUAAAUAAGUAAAUAAAUAAAAAUUCUAAAGCUAUUAUUAUAUUAUAUUAUAUAAUAUUAUAUUAUAACCUGUUAUAGACUGACUUCAAAAAUAGUUUUACAUUCUCUGCUAAUAUGCUUUUAUAUUCUCAUUCCAUUUACAGUUUGAUUACCUACAUUAGGCCUACACUAUCCACUUACACAAUACGUUAUCAAGUUUCAGGACAUUUUAUCUGUCAUUCUGACAUCUGUACGUUGUACUUCAUGUAUGUAUUUAUGUAAACGCUGCAUUUUAAACGGGCGUGCACUUUGAACAUUCGAGUUGCAUUUAAACUGGAGCGGAGAGAGAGUUACCAUGGAAACGGGGAAGCAGCUUAACUGACAAGCGGCGAGUCUCCGUCUGUCACACUGCUUUAUGCAUUAGAUUCUUCCAUGCUGAUGGCAGUACUGCAGUAGAGUUGGAGUGGACCUCCUGUUGAAGAGCAUCUCCAAUGUGCUAUGAACCAUCUGACUAGAAAGCCAUCUCGUUUAACUCAUUGAGGACACUUGGUAAACAGCAACCUAAAGAGGGGCCCAACAUAAUGAGAUAUUGUUGAUGUUAAAAUUGAAUUUCAGGGCAGUUUGUGAAGACAGAUAAACAAGAGAUGCUGUGUCAACCUGGACAGAAGUCAGUUUCAGAUCCACCUUCCACACCAGACUUCUAAUAUGGAUUGCUGUCUACUGGCAUAUUAUUUGUUCUCCUCAGAAUUUAGUGCAUGCAGACAUUACUCAGGAACAUGAACACGAAUAUUGCAAGAAUGGGUAAUGUGCCUUAUUUCAGAUAUGAAUGUUAAUUGCUCUUAAGCAUUAAAAAAAAUAUUUUUACUGUUUUUUUUCCCAAAGCACCUAUAAGCCAAUUCACACUGCUGUACUCCCAACUGGGGGAACACACUGACUCAACCAGUGUGAACAGACCAUAAUGCUGUAUGUUAGGUGUGAGAUUUGUUAAACCUUGUUUUCUAUGAUGCAUAUAUUUAAGUACACCAGUGUGAAGCAUAAUUCCCCCCACAUUUGCUGUAUAAUCAGUAACCGAUUUGUCAAAGUAUUCUUUCAGUGGUUAUGGGGAUUUCACAUGGAAGGCGGCAGCCCUGGUCAAUGCACUGAUCUCUAAAAAAUGAAGUGUAGAUUAGACGUAGCAUUGUUUUUUGGUUUUGUUCAAAGUUUAUAACGGGGUUCUCAACUCUGACCUGCGUGAUCCACUUUCCUGCACAAUUCAGUUGCAACCCCAAUUGACAACUGAACAAGGUAAUCAUUGUCUUCAUGUUCUAAUAGAAAGCUACAAGCAGGUGUGUUUGAUAAAGGUUGGAGCUAAAAAAGGAAAGUGGAUCUCACAAGUCAGAGUUGAAAACCCCUGGUUUAGAUAAUUCAGUUCUUUACAACCUUGUUUCUUUUUGGGGUUGUACUGAAUUCUGAAUAUAAUCAUUAGUUUUAGUGCAAACGAGCAAUAAGAUUGCAGUGUGAUUAUUAUUAUAACUGCAGUAAAAUAAUUUGUAACUAGCUAAAAUUGAAUACAUUUUACAAAUGAAAUGUUGCUUUUUUUCUGUUAAAAUAUGCACUGAAAUUUUUUUGCAGUUUGUACUCAUAUUCAAAUUUGCCAGUCAUUGCAUAAUUUUCAUAUGUUGUACUUUAUUUGAAACCAUUUUGUUUUAUUGGUAUAUAUUUAUGCAUUUGUCUUGUUUAUUGGGUUAUUUCUUUAUUUUUGUGAACUACCCAUAUCAUAUUACUUUUUAUAUUUUGUGAAUAAAUACGAUGAGUGACAAUUUUUGUGUAGUAUAAAUUAUUAGGCCUACAUAUGUUAACCUAGGCUUAUAAAACCGACGAGGUCAGCAAUGCUACAGGGUAAGGUGAAAUGUA